CCCCCCCCUCCCCCCCCAUAUCAGUGCGCCGAGCUGAUAAAGGCGCCAUUUUGGACGGGCCGCGGGAGACGUGGUGCCGCUGAGGGCUCGCUCUGCCGUACGCUAGGCUUGGUGGGAAGGCCUCUCUUCUCGAGUCCGCGCCUUUUUUCGUCGCCGCCAUGUCAGGAGGUGGUGUGAUCCGUGGCCCGGCGGGGAACAACGACUGCCGCAUCUACGUGGGGAACCUACCUCCGGACAUCCGAACCAAGGACAUUGAGGACGUGUUUUACAAAUACGGCGCCAUCCGCGACAUCGACCUGAAGAACCGCCGCGGGGGACCUCCCUUCGCCUUCGUUGAGUUCGAGGACCCGCGAGACGCGGAAGAUGCGGUGUACGGUCGCGACGGCUACGAUUACGACGGCUACCGUCUGCGGGUGGAGUUCCCCCGAAGCGGCCGCGGGACAGGCCGAGGCGGCGGCGGGGGUGGAGGCGGCGGAGCUCCGAGAGGCCGCUAUGGCCCGCCCUCCCGGCGGUCCGAAAACAGAGUGGUUGUCUCCGGACUGCCUCCGAGUGGAAGCUGGCAGGAUUUAAAGGAUCACAUGCGUGAAGCAGGUGAUGUAUGUUAUGCUGAUGUUUACCGAGAUGGCACUGGUGUCGUGGAGUUUGUACGGAAAGAAGAUAUGACGUAUGCAGUUCGAAAACUGGAUAACACUAAGUUUAGAUCUCAUGAGGGAGAAACUGCCUACAUCCGGGUUAAAGUUGAUGGGCCCAGAAGUCCAAGUUAUGGAAGAUCUCGCUCUCGAAGCCGUAGUCGUAGCAGAAGCCGUAGCAGAAGCAACAGCAGGAGUCGCAGUUACUCCCCAAGGAGAAGCAGAGGAUCACCACGCUAUUCUCCCCGUCAUAGCAGAUCUCGCUCUCGUACAUAAGAUGAUUGACAUAUCUGAAGAGAUGGAUUAAGAAUGCUUUGGAUUAAGGAUUGUGGAGCACAUUUCAAUCAUUUUAGGAUUGUCAAAAGGAGGAUUGAGGAGGAUCAGAUCAAUAAUGGAGGCAAUGGUAUGACUCCAAGUGCUAUUGUCACAGAUGAAAUUGGCAGUAUUGACCUUAUACUAAAAGACAAGGGUGAAAAUUUUUAUCUACCUUAAAACACUUGCAAACAUCUUAAUGCAGUUACCUUUAGCUACAAUUGCUUUGCUUUUUAAACCUUGGCAAUUGUGGCAAAAUUGCCCAUUUUGUAACAGUUAUUUGCUCCCUUCCCCCCCCUUUUGUUUUAAUAGGGACUAAUGUGGGAAGAAUGGCUAAUUUGUCACAGUGCUUAGUUACAACUGUUAAUGUGUGGCCUGCUGUUGGUGUACAUGUGGGUACAGGGUGUCUAUUUCCAAACAGAGUAUAAUAUCAAUACUGCUAAAUCUGCAUGUCCUCUGUGUGACUGAUAGAGCGUUGUUAUUUCAUUUUUUAAAGACAAAAUGACAGCAAAAUAUAGAAUCCAACGUAUUAGUGUAGAUAAUCUAGUUGGGAGUACUUUAAGUCUCACCUUCCCUUUUAAUAUUCAUAAUUGACUCAUGUUAAAACACUUUAAUUUACAAGCUAAAUUGCAGAUGGGAGCAAUAGAUUUAGUUUAGACUUAGGUGGGUAGCAGUACCAGUAAACUUCAAUUACAUAACUUUGCAGCCACAAAACCUGUGAUACCUGUACAAUAAAUAACAAGUGUUGGCAUUAUCAGUUGAACUGUAAAUAUAAAGUGCUUCUUCCAGUUAGUCUCUAUAAUGAUUAAGUUUCUAAAAUUUAUCUAAACACCAUACAGAAACUUGUUUUGGGGAAUUUGAUAGUUAUUGAUGUACAUCUGUUAAACUGAUGACAGACAUAACUCAUCAUUCCCCAGAAACCUUUUUUGAUUACAGUAUCUAACAUUUUGCCUCCUCUUUUUUGGUUUUGCUGGUUAUAAAGGUUUGGAUUGGAGAGGGCUCACUGGAUCCCAAUCCUUGGAGCUGGAUCAUUGGAUUCAAAUCAUAAUGUGGAUAGGAUAGGGAGGAUGAAUUACCAGGAUUCAUGGAGCGGGAUCAGAUUACCAGGAACAUAGGAGUGGAUUCCUUCCUGCCCCAACCAAACCGCAUUCGUGUGGAUUUUUUUUUCAUUCAACUUAAUUGGCUAUUCCAAAGAGUUUUUUUUCCUAUUUUUGACGAUUGGAGCCCUUAAGAUGCACGAUGGAAUUGUGUUUUGCAUUUUUUGGUAAAAGGAGCAAAGCGAGGACCUGGAGAUAUACGCUGGAGCAAUCUCCUUGGAAGGAUUCAGCACGAGUAGAUGGAUAUUGUAGGGACUCUGAUUAGUUUUUCUAACCAAGAAAGCACUUAAAUCUCUUUAAGCAAGUACUUUGCAUAACAUCUGAUUGAAUAAUCCAACUUGCUGUUCAGCUCAUCCUACUGGAGACAAAGGCUGACCAGUUCUCUGGUGGUUACCGCUACUGAUCCAUCCAAACUGCUGGACUUCUCGUUCAUACCCAAGGCCUCCAGGCAGUAUCUAAUGAGGAGUCAACACUAAAAGGAACCAGACCAUCAUUUCCCAGCCCCUUUAUUCUGGUGACUGAUGGACGAGUGCGAGAGGAAUAUAUUUGCUUGUUUAAUGGGUGGGAAAACAGAUCAAGUUACUGUACCUCUUCAGUUUCUAUUCUCAAGUUCUGCAACUGUGCUACUUGGAUCAUAUAUAUUGGGGGAAGUUGAAGAUGUGUCUUUCAUUAGAAGUGUCUGGAGGGGAUAAGAGUCAGUUUGAAAUAUGUUGAAGUCCUGAAAUAAUGUGCCCAUCUGAGGAAUUUUUAAAAACAAGUUUAUAAAAAUACCAUAGAUGGAGCCUGCCCCCUCAUUUCCCCACCACAGAUUUCUGGGACUGGAGACAUGUGUUGAAUAAUAGCUUGUCUCUGAUAUUCACAGUAGCUACCUCUAUGUGAGGAAAGGAUAGAAAACAUUCAAGACUUCAUUCGGGCUUAUGAUCUACAGAUUCCAACCAGUAGCAGUGGCUGACUCCUACACAGAAGACUGGGAACUGCAAACAGGCUGGGGUCACCUCAGUGACAUCUGACGCUGUCCAACCAGAAGUCUGGCUUUUUUUCCGGGGGAGGAGGGGUGAAAAAUGUACUAAAAGACUAAAAUAAUUUUGUCUCUA